ACCUGCUUAAAAGGAAAGAGAAACCAGAGUGAAUUAUGACUCUUGCCCAGUUUUUGGUUGAAUACUGCCUGCAUGCUGCUACAAUGCCCCUUUUACAGAACAUUGUCUAACAUGUAAAUAUUCUGGAAUAGUACCCCCAAAUUCAACUUGACAUGAAGACAAGAACAAAACCAUUCAGUACUGAUUAAAUGCUUGGCUGCACCCUUCUGGUUACCGCUAGAACUGAGCUUUCGCUCGCCGUCCACCACUGCUGUUUUGCUGCCGUCGCAGACCCGCCGCUGACUUCCAUCCCUCCAAUCCAGCAGGGCGCCCGCUGUGCUCCUGAUCCAGGGAAGCACCCGUUGCCACUCCUGAUCGCGCUAAAGGCUUGCCAUUGUUCCUGCAUGGCUAAGUGCCUGGUUUCGUCCUAAUCAAGCUGAACACUAGUCACUGGGUUCCACGGUUCUCUUCCGUGACCCACGACUUCUAAUAGAGCUAUAACACUCACCGCACGGCCCAAGAUUCCAUUCCUUGGAAUCCGUGAGGCCAAGAACCCCAGGUCAGAGAACACGAGGCUUGCCACCAUCUUGGAAGUGGCCUGCCGCCAUUUUGGAAGUGGCCCACCACCAUCUUGGGAGCUCUGGGAGCAAGGACCCCUGGCAUCUGGAUAUUAAGACUGUCUCCAGCCCUUUGAGGUUGAGAGAGGAAGCAAGCACGGAGGAAUGGAUUUGACAACCCACAUGUCCGUGACUCAAAGCAAGCAAGGCCUUGCACAACCAACUCGCCACCCACACAAUCUGCACAGUCUCAGUGAGAAAGCAGGAGCAGGGAGCUCUCCGCUGAGAGUGAAGAAAUGUCCUCAACUCGACUUCUCUGCAGUGUGCAUGUGUGUGAAACACAGACACACACGGGAGGAAUUUGGCUCUGUCAUUUUAGUGUACCAAAGAAAAAAAAACAGGGAGAAAUCACUUGUUUGAAGCCCUAAAUGACAUAAGGAAGAUUUUCCCAGAUCUAAAUAAUGAUCCCUAAGGUCAGGUGCUGUGUAUGGUAUGGAUUUGGAAACUUCAUAAUGUCUCUGACCACCACUCCAGGACACUGCAGACAGGUGUGCAUUUACUCAGCAUCCAGUAAACACCUGCAAGGUGCAGAGUACUACACUAGGCACAGGGAACAGAGCUACUGACUGACUGCCAGAGUUUCGAAGAAUACAGAUAAGUCAACUAUUAAAGCUAGGAAACAGACCGGAUGCGGUGGCUCACGCCUGUAAUCCCAGCACUUUGGAAGACCGAGGCGGGUGGAUCAACUGAGGUCAAGAGUUCAAGACCAGCCUGCCAACAUGGUGAAACUCCGUCCCUAUUAAUAAUACAAAAAAAUUAGCUGGGCAUGGUGGCACAUGCCUGUAAUCCCAGCUAUUCGGGAGGCUGAGGCAGGAGAAUUGCUUGAACCCAGGAGGCUGCAGUGAGCUGAGAUCGCGCCAUUGCACUCCAGCCUGGGCAACAAGAGCGAAACUCUGCCUCCAAUAAAUAAAUAAAUAAAAUAAAAUAAAAUAAAAUAAAGCCAUAAAACAGUAAA
rnacentral:lncRNA from 1 species